rnacentral:rRNA from 1 species
AUUGAACGCUGGCGGCAUGCCUUACACAUGCAAGUCGAACGGCAGCACGGGAGCAAUCCUGGUGGCGAGUGGCGAACGGGUGAGUAAUAUAUCGGAACGUGCCCAGUCGUGGGGGAUAACGUAGCGAAAGCUACGCUAAUACCGCAUACGAUCUACGGAUGAAAGCGGGGGAUCGCAAGACCUCGCGCGAUUGGAGCGGCCGAUAUCAGAUUAGGUAGUUGGUGGGGUAAAGGCUCACCAAGCCGACGAUCUGUAGCUGGUCUGAGAGGACGACGAGCCACACUGGGACUGAGACACGGCGCAGACUGCUACGGGAGGCAGCAGUGGGGAAUUUUGGACAAUGGGCGCAAGCCUGAUCCAGCAAUGCCGCGUGCAGGAUGAAGGCCUUCGGGUUGUAGACUGCUUUUGUACGGAACGAAACGGCGAGCUCUAAUACAGUUUGCUAAUGACGGUACCGUAAGAAUAAGCACCGGCUAACUACGUGCCAGCAGCCGCCGCAG